UAAUCAACCACAGAAAAACCAUUAGAAAGCUCUCCUCCAGGGACAUAUUGUUGUUUUUUACUCAACCACUUAAGGAAUGAUCAGGGCCACAAAGUCAAGGAAGCAAUCACUCUUCUGUGACUAUUACGAAGAAUGAAAUGGAGUCUCUGGGCUCUUCCUCAACCAUUUGUACAGACAUAACCUCGAGAAAGGCUUCCCCAUCUCUGACCGGAAAAUUACAUUAGCGAGAGAGAAAAGAUUCCACAAAUGCCAAGGGGGCCAGAGGAUCUGCAGAAGGGAGGAGUGGGUCCACUCUCUAAGCUCGCGCAGUUGGUCAAGGCCACCACUCAAGUGCUCAAGGUUGUUGCAACAAGAAAUUCCUGUGCAACGUGAAGGCCUUUGACAGGCACUACAGUGCUGGACAAUGUGAAGGACAUGGGGACCAGCACUCCCAAGCAUGGCAAGGUGCCCAUCCUGGGGUGAAUCUCUGUGGCCAAGGUCUUAUCAAGCUGGCAGCCCCCGGAGUAGAACAUGCAAGGAACAAAUCCCAAAGAAGAGGAGCGGGUUAUGUCUAGAAAGAAAGAAGCUGCCAUGCAAUCAGAAUAGAACCCACUCAACCUGUACUGCUUACCAGAU